rnacentral:rRNA from 1 species
UACGAGGGGGGCAAGCGUUGUUCGGAAUUAUUGGGCGUAAAGGGUGCGUAGGCGGUGCGGUAAGUCUGUUGUGAAAUCUCCGGGCUCAACUCGGAGUCUGCAUCAGAAACUGCCGUGCUGGAGUGUGGGAGAGGUGAGUGGAAUUCCCGGUGUAGCGGUGAAAUGCGUAGAGAUCGGGAGGAACACCUGUGGCGAAAGCGGCUCACUGGACCAUAACUGACGCUGAUGCACGAAAGCUGGGGGAGCAAACAGG